rnacentral:tRNA from 1 species
CAAAGGGUAGUUUAUAUAAAAUAUUAAUUUUGGAGAUUAAAGAUAAGUUUUUCUUUCCUUUGA